rnacentral:rRNA from 2 species
GGCGCUCACCACUUUGUGGUUCAUGACUGGGGUGAAGUCGUAACAAGGUAGCCCUAGGGGAACCUGGGGCUGGAUCACCUCCUUACCU